UUGAGAGUAUUCUAUUAUGUUAUUACGUUUACGAACAAAACGAUUUUUCCAACGGGUUCAUUAUUUUCGGUUGAAAGUGAAAAUUUAAUUUGAGAUGCCAGUGAUUUCAAAUUAAAGGUGGAUUAGGUUAGUAUAUUUAUGUUUACGGAAAGCUUUUUUUUUUAUGAAUUUUGUUUUGAGCAUAACCAAUAAUCUGAUUGACUGCGAUUUGAUCUUAAUGAUCUUUGAUAAAAUUCAGGGUCUUAGUGAUUCAAAAUAAAUGUCGAGAAUGAAAAAUAUUGUUGUCUGAAGUUUAAGAUAUGUAUUCUUUAGAAUUGGUGUGUUUUCUUACGUAUGGGUUUGAAAGGUUGAUGAGAUUGUUGAACUGAUAUUAGUUAGUUGAACCAUGACGAUCCUAGUGGUAUUUAGUUUUAAGCCGUAUUUGUAAGAAAAUAAAUUAUAAGCAGAACGAUAUUUUGAAUUGCUGAUAAACUUUCUCAUUUGAGAUAAUUGGUAUAUUGACCACUAUAAGUUUGGUAGUGCAUAAGCGUUGAGUGAUGUAAGAUUAAUUCCAGUGAGAGUGUCUGUAUGUUUUGGUUGUAGCGUUGGAGUUUGGCUUAGUAAAAUUUCGAUUUAUUUUUGGAUUGUUCCUACACUUAUGGUGUUGCUUGGUGGUCUUGGAGACUUGAUCUAAUUAUUUUGAAAUUUUUUCCCGUGUAGCGUGUUGGUUGUUCCUGGGUAGAAAAUAAAUUUUUAAUUCGUUCACCUGUGGUGUUUGAGAAGUCAUUUGUGGUACCAAAUUGUUGAACUCAAAAUCUGUAGCGUAUGCAUGUGAUGAUCUUUCGAGUUUUCAAUCAGUUUCAAAUUCGAGGUCGUAUUUAUUUAAAUUGGGGAGAAUGUAACACCACAUAUUCUUUCAGCGUGUUUCAGCUAAAUAAUGUUUAGUUUUGCUUUGACUAUCUUCAGCCUUCUUUGUCAUAGAAUUUAUCUUUUGGUAAGAGUUUUGGUUAAUCUUUUGAGAUUGUGGUUUUGUUUUGCUUAAAUUGAGUUAUGCGGCUUUUGUUUUGUUUCCGUUGAGUCGUCACUCGGUCGUUGAGCGAUUUUUGGAAUUAGAAUUGUUAUGCAUAGUUGUUUUCUUUUGUUCCGUUGAAGAGUGCACUUGGGAGACCGAGUCUGAUAUGAGGAAUCGCUAUCCUUUUUUUUUUUUUUCUGAAGGUACGAUAGAUUGUCUUAUAUGAUUUGUAUUCGUAUGUCUGUUAUUUGUUUACUUAGGCUAUCUGUGCUAUCGCGUUAAAUUCGAGGACGAAUUUUUUUAUAAGUUGGGGAGAAUGUAAUAUCCCGUAUUUUUCUUAAAAAAAAAUUUAAAUUUAAUUUUUACAUUCCGUCAAGUUUUAAGUAAUUUAUUGUUUAUAAUUAAAUAUUUUUAUUUAAUUUUAUUGAAUCGUUCGUUGAUUUGGUCGUGGUUCGAUUCGUGUUUGGUGUGUAUUAAUAAAAUAAAAACAAAAACAAAAACAAAACAUAUAUAUAAAUAAAUAUGCAUGCAAAAUAAAACCCUAUGCUUUAUUAUCCAUGUAACUAGGCCCGUUUCUUUUAUUAGUAACAUGAAAGGCCAUAAAGAAAGUCCAUACAAUUUGUUUACUUAAUUAUGCUAAUUCUGCAAUCAUCUUCUUCCAACCUAAGUAUAUAAACAUCUGUUUCACGCUUCUAUCAACUAAACCUAAUUUUUCUCAUAUCUUUGAAACUAAACUUAGCCGCCAUUCUUCCUAAUCAUUAUGAGAUAAUACUCUUUAUCAUUCCAUUCCAAAUCGUCUCAAGCCGCGUCGUUUUUGGAUCCGUUUCGUUCUAGUUGUACUAGACUCUCACCUCUACAAUUCCCAUCUUCGUUCUCGCCAAACGACCCGUCCACUGCUCGUGUUUCGGAGUCUACGCAGGGUUAGCUGGUUGCCAAAAAUCACGUGGAUAAGCAAGCAGUUUAUGAUUUGAAAGCUGGUCCACUCCGAUCCUUUUAUUCUUCGGAGGUUUAUUUUAUUUUAAAUAAAUUGUCAAACUGAUUUUUAUUCUUAGACCGCAGUAGUAAACUAGAAGUCCAUAUUAUAUUAGAUGUUUGUCAGAUUGGUCUGAUUGGCUUUAUUUUAUGCUUUUGCAUACUUAUUUGUUUAACUCUGGUUAUUUAUUAUUUAAUGUAAGUAAUUAUAUUUCAGUUGUUAUA